rnacentral:rRNA from 1 species
GAUGAACGCUGGCGGCGUGCCUAAUACAUGCAAGUCGAGCGAACAGACGAGGAGCUUGCUCCUCUGACGUUUGCCGCGGACGGGUGAGUAACACGUGGAUAAUCUACCUAUAAGACUGGUAUAACUUCGGGACACCGGAGCUAAUACCGGAUAAUAUAUUGCACCGCAUGGUUCAAUAGUGAAAGUCGGUUUUGCUGUCACUUAUAGAUGGAUACGCGCCGCAUUAGCUAGUUGGUAAGGUAACGGCUUACCAAGGCGACCAUGCGUAGCCGACCUGAGAGGGGGAUCGGCCACACUGGAACUGGGACACGCUCCAGACGCCUACGGGAGGCAGCAGUAGCGAAUCUUCCGCAGUGGGCGGAAGCCUGACGGAGCAACGCCGCGUGAGUGAUAAAGGUCUUCGGAUCGUAAAACUCUGUUAUUAGGUAAGAACAAAUUUGUAAGUAACUAUGCACGUCUUGACGGUACCUAAUCAGAAAGCCACGGCUAACUACGUG